rnacentral:lncRNA from 1 species
UGUCAACAAUAAUCUUACAACCCUUAUUGUUGAUCUUGAUGUAAGUAUGAAAAAUGGCAUGACGGCGCCAAUCAUCGACAUCCUUAGGUUGGGUAAGGGUACAACGUACAACACUCAACCGAGAUGUGUCGGGGGCUAGAUAAGUAGGACCUAGACCUACGGGAAGGGUAUGAAGGCAACCUAAGAAGGUAUCCUCAUUAUUACCCAAAUCGUCAAGCUCUUCAAAGUUAGGCUCAUAGACUUGAUCUUCUAAAGGCUCAUCAACGACAUCCUUUCGCUCAUCAAUAACUAAGGCUCGGCUCAGACAUCUAGAGGAGAUAUAGAUGAAGCCCUUACAAUUAAAGCAUUGCAAACGAGAAGAGGUUCUUGAAGUUUUCGGAGCUUUACCUUUAUUGUCUAAAGCAGGGAGUGCGUUAGACGGUGGGGGUCCAAGAAGAGAUUUGGUGGGAGGAGGUGGUGCCGAUGAGAUGGAUGGACGAUUAUCACUACGCCUUCCA